CCAUAAGCAAAUCCUACGCAACCCUAUUCCAUUCUCUUGUAUUGUUCAUCUUUUCCUUGUGAUACUCAGAUAUAAGAAUAAGAAGAGAAAAGGAAAAACCAAAACCCUAAAAAUGUUUUCGGGAAUCGAUGGUGGGAAGAAACGGUGGGCUGAUAUUCAUGGUCCCUGCAAAGAGUGGGUUGAUAUUUAUGGUCCCUGCGGACGCAAGGAGAUGUUGGUUUGUGGGUUGAUUAGAAAAGGGGUUAAUUUAAACGAUUUGAAGCCAGAUAGUAAAAGGAGAAUGGAUGUUAGCCGUCCUAAUUGUGCAUAUGCUAAUAUCUUAGCAGACGCCGAGUCUUGGAUGAGAAUAUGGGGGCUUUCAGUGGAAGAUUUGAAAUCGGGAACUUUUUAUUCUUUUCUUGAAAACGGAAGAACCAUGGACGGUAUAAAAAAUCACCAAGGCGGAGGGUCUGCGUAUGAUUAACCAGAUUAAUCGUAAUAAUAAGAAGAAAGUGGAAGCUCUGUUUAAGAAGGAUACGAAGUAUGAUCAAACUUGGGCUGACGAGGUUCAUAGUUCAUAUCUUUGGCUGAAGGAGCUGCAGAAGAGGGAAAAGGAGGGGACUCAUAAUUUUAUCAAGUCUAAGCUGAAGGUAAGGGAGGAGGAUAUGCGGAGGUUCAGAGAGGGGGCAGCUACCUGGUACGAAAAUUUUCGUACUCAUGAGGGCGGCACAAUUAGCUCUAAGCAUGACUACGGUUACCACUUCAACUAUCCUGAUCUGGAUCCCAAGGAUGGUUUUGAUUGUAACCGCUUCAAGAUAUCCAACAACAUGUCCCUCGCGUUUGAUGCUCACGAUGAGGAUCUCUUUCAACAAGUUAUCAAGCGGCCUCGAUCAGGCUAUUAAUUAUAUAUAGGCUUUCUUAGUUAUUAUUAUCAUCUAGGUUGCUUAUUUGCUACUGCUUGCUUGCUCAUGUGUGUUUGUGUCCUUUAAUAAUCUUCUGUCAAACUUAAUUUGGUCAUCCAUGUUGUUGGAACUACUUGGUACUUUUCAUGUUAUGUUGUUUUAUGCUUAAUUCUGUCGUUUCUAGUUACUACCACUUUUACCAUUAUCUAUUAUUUCUCAUCAUUAUUAUGCAUCUUAUUGCUGCUAUCCAUACUAUAUACUAUAUAUAUAUGUAUAGGAAGGACACGUAUAAAUUCAGUGACUUAUACCUUGAGGUCUGCAAAAGGACCAUGAUCAGAAGUUCAGAACUGAUUACUGCCUACCGGUUCAAGGAUCAGGUUUGGAAGGUUUCAAACCAAUCAAGAUGGAACGGCAGAUGUGCUGGUUAAGAGCCCAAAACGGAUUCAAGUGAAACAGGCCAUUUUCUAAUCCUGAGGCAGCCAAUAACAAGGUAAUCACACAGACUCAAGCCAUGGGCCCACGGAAGUAUAUCAACAAUGGUUGACCUAUGCCAGAGCGGACAAUUAACUCUUAGCAUUAGCCAUUCUCGGGUACAUCUAGUAUGGAAGUGAUGGUUGCAUGGAAGUUAUGGUUACAUGGAAGUGAAUAAAGUUCUGCUCCAUCUUCAUAGUUGCAGAGGCAUAUACAGCAGUCCUUCAAAAAAACACAGAUGAAAGUUGGACCGAUAGCAUGUGAUCUUGCUCAUACAGACUGGACAAAGCCCGUUUGGGGAACUGGGGUCAUCAGAAAGUUAC